GGGCGGGGAGGAGGAGGAUGGCUUCUCCUGGGAGAAGGCAUCUGCUUCUGCAGCCUGAACCUUAGGACCGUGAUGGGCCAGGCUCUGAUGGGCCUGCCUGCAUGCCGGGGUGCCUGGAGUUUGAUUUGGUGCUAAGAGAGGUAUAGAUUGUACCUCUCAAUUCCUGCUUCUGAAACUAGGGUAUGGGUGCCCCCAGAAGCUGCACAAAAGUGGGCUGGUGAUGGGGGACAGGGAAGCCACAGGAUAAACUUGGCAUCGCUUUCUAGAGCAUCCGUUUCUGCAAAGAUUUGUGGAAGGAAACAUUUUCAUACUAAAGAAAUGUGAUGGAGUAAGAUGUGCAGAAUUCAGGGGACUUUUUAAGAUGAAAUGUGAGACUUUGGGAGGCUGAGGCAGGUGGAUCACUUGAGGUCAGGAGUUCGAGUCCAACCUGGCCAACAUGGUGAAACCCCAUCUCUCCAAAAAAUACAGAAAUUAGCCGAGUGUGGUGGUGCACGCCUGUAAUGCCAGCUACUCAGGAGGCUGAGAAAGGAGAAUUGCUUGAACCCGGGGGAUGGAGGUUGCAGUGAGCCAAGAUUGUGCCACUGCACUUCAGCCUGGGCAACAGAGCGAGAAUCUGUCAAAAAAGAAGAAAGGAAGAAAAAGAAAACGACAGAGAGAG
rnacentral:lncRNA from 10 species